AGGACGAACGCUGGCGGCGUGCCUAACACAUGCAAGUCGAACGGGGGUAGCAAUACCCCAGUGGCGAACGGGUGCGUAACACGUGAGGAACAUUCCUUCCGGUGGGGGAUAGCCGGCCUAACGGCCGGGUAAUACCGCAUACGCUGUCCGGGGUGCAUACCCUGGAUCGGAAAGCAGCAAUGCGCCGGAAAGGUGCCUCGCGGCCUAUCAGCUAGUUGGUGAGGUAAUGGCUCACCAAGGCGACGACGGGUAGC
rnacentral:rRNA from 1 species